GCGGGCGUAGUACAUGGGUAGUGCACCAGCCUUCCAAGCCGGGUACGGGGGUUCGAUUCCCUCCGCCCGCUCCA
rnacentral:tRNA from 2 species